CUCCCUGUACCAUCGCGCUUGACCAUCGGCAGUCGGGUUCGUCGAAAACCCAUAAAAAUGGAUGCUCAAUUUUUCUCUGUUUGGUCGGGCCCUAUUUCUUUCUUUUUCGACCAUUGGUGCUAUCGUUUGCAAUGCCUCAGCCAUGGGUCAUGACCCCCACCUCCCUAGCUUCCUUCUUCGGAGGUUUGGCCGUCGAUGAUCGGUUGGUGAUCGAAAAAAUCAAAGAAAAGGGGGUAGUUCUCUAUUUUUUUGAGUUUUUUAUUUUUAUUUGUUGGCCGGUUACUUGCCACCGGCCAUCCCUUGCUCCACCACCACCGGUUGCCUAUGUCACCGUCAGACUCCCAGCCACAAGUCAUCAGCCUUUGUUCCCUUGAUCAGCCAAGAAGAGAAGAAAAGGAAAGA
rnacentral:lncRNA from 1 species